ACGGAAGGCAGCAGUGGGGAAUAUUGGGCGAUGGGCGAAAGCCUGACCCAGCAACGCCGCGUGAAGGAAGAAGGUCUUCGGAUUGUAAACUUCUUUUAUGAGGGACGAAGGAAGUGACGGUACCUCAUGAAUAAGCCACGGCUAACUACGUGCCAGCAGCCGCGGUAAUACGUAGGUGGCAAGCGUUAUCCGGAUUUACUGGGUGUAAAGGGCGCGUAGGCGGGGAUGCAAGUCAGGUGUGAAAUCUAUGGGCGUAACCCAUAAACUGCACUUGAAACUGUAUCUCUUGAGUGCUGGAGAGGUAGACGGAAUUCCUUGUAUAGCGGUGAAAUGCGUAGAUAUAAGGAAGAACACCAGUGGCGAAGGCGGUCUACUGGACAGUAACUGACGCUGAGGCGCGAAAGCGUGGGGAGCAAACAGGAUUAGAUACCCUGGUA
rnacentral:rRNA from 1 species